rnacentral:rRNA from 1 species
GACGUAGGGCGCGAGCGUUGUCCGGAUUUAUUGGGCGUAAAGGGCGCGUAGGCGGGUCGUUUAGUUAGAGGUGAAAGCCCAGGGCUCAACCCUGGAAUUGCCUUUAAUACUGGCGGCCUUGAGUAUGGCAGAGGUGUGUGGAACUCCGAGUGUAGAGGUGAAAUUCGUAGAUAUUCGGAAGAACACCGGUGGCGAAGGCGGCGCUCUGGACCGAGACUGACGCUGAGGCGCGAAAGCGUGGGGAGCAAACAGA